AAUGGGCGAGAGCCUGAACCAGCCAAGUCGCGUGAAGGAAGAAGGUUCUAUGGAUUGUAAACUUCUUUUGCAUGGGAAUAAAGUGAGCUACGAGUAGUUUAUUGUAUGUACUGUGCGAAUAAGGAUCGGCUAACUCCGUGCCAGCAGCCGCGGUAAUACGGAGGAUCCGAGCGUUAUCCGGAUUUAUUGGGUUUAAAGGGUGCGUAGGCGGGAGAUUAAGUCAGCGGUGAAAGUUUGCAGCUUAACUGUAAAAUUGCCGUUGAAACUGAUUUUCUUGAGUGUAAAUAAGGUAGGCGGAAUGUGUUGUGUAGCGGUGAAAUGCAUAGAUAUAACACAGAACCCCGAUUGCGAAGGCAGCUUACCGGGCUACAACUGACGCUGAGGCACGAAAGCGUGGGGAUCAAA
rnacentral:rRNA from 1 species